UUAACUCUUUUGUUUUUGCAUUUGCAACAAAAACAGUAGCGGAUGGCAUCAAUGGAGAAGAACCCUAGUGAACAAGCGAAAAGUGGUGAUGAAGAGGAGCAUGUCACCAGGGAAUCUGCCUUUUGUUAUAUCAAAUGAGACGUUUGAGAAAGUUGCUGAAAAUUCAACAGCAGCAGCAGCAGAGAGGGAGAGGGGGAGGGACUAUAGCGGGGAGAGAGGGAAGUAGGGCGGAU